CCUACGGGUGGCUGCAGUGGGGAAUAUUGGACAAUGGGCGAAAGCCUGAUCCAGCCAUGCCGCGUGUGUGAAGAAGGCCUUCGGGUUGUAAAGCACUUUCAGUGGGGAAGAAAGCCUUGGGGCUAAUACCCUCGAGGAAGGACAUCACCCACAGAAGAAGCACCGGCUAACUCCGUGCCAGCAGCCGCGGUAAUACGGAGGGUGCGAGCGUUAAUCGGAAUUACUGGGCGUAAAGCGCGCGUAGGCGGUCUGAUAAGCCGGUUGUGAAAGCCCCGGGCUCAACCUGGGAACGGCAUCCGGAACUGUCAGGCUAGAGUGCAGGAGAGGAAGGUAGAAUUCCCGGUGUAGCGGUGAAAGGCGUAGAGAUCGGGAGGAAUACCAGUGGCGAAGGCGGCCUUCUGGACUGACACUGACGCUGAGGUGCGAAAGCGUGGGUAGCAAACAGGAUUAGAUACCCCUGUAGUC
rnacentral:rRNA from 1 species